UACGUAGGGUGCAAGCGUUAUCCGGAAUUAUUGGGCGUAAGGAGCUCGUAGGCGGUCUGUCGCGUCUGCUGUGAAAACCUGGGGCUUAACCCUGGGCCUGCAGUGGGUACGGGCAGACUAGAGUGUGGUAGGGGAGACUGGAAUUCCUGGUGUAGCGGUGAAAUGCGCAGAUAUCAGGAGGAACACCGGUGGCGAAGGCGGGUCUCUGGGCCAUAACUGACGCUGAGGAGCGAAAGCGUGGGGAGCGAACAGG
rnacentral:rRNA from 1 species